AUGGUUUUAAAGAAAGCAGACCUGGCUGGUUCUUGGGACAAUGUGCCUGGGUGGGAGGUCUGGGAUAGCCCUGCAGGUCUUGGCUCAUUCGAGCCAGUGCACUGCCCUCCCACUUUGGCAGCCUCCCCUGGACUCGCCUCCUUCCCGUGCAGCGACGCCAAAAAAAGAAAAGGCGCUUGUAUUCGGGUAAUUACAGGGCCGUCGCCUCUAAACGCGCCAAGGCGCAUGCUUAGUCUCUGGUCACGUGAUGCCUGUCAUGGCCGCCUCCGUGGCCUGGGGAGGUGUGAAUGCUGGGUUCCUGCUGCGGGCUGCCAGGGGUGCCUGGUGGAGCCGACCUGGAGGCUUUUGGGGGUCCGGGGAGGCGGCGGCGCCAGCGAUAGCCAGGAAAUUCCGGGCGACAGGCUCGCGCCCGGCGGGGGAGGAAGAAGCCGGCGGCCCCGAGCGGCCCGGGGACGUGUGAGUGUGGGAGCCAAGUCCCCCGUUAAUAAUAGCACGGGGUUCCUCCGGUCCCCACGUUGCCGUACAGCCUCAUCCCUGUGUCCCCCCUUCUGCAUCACCCUAUUUCCAUGUCCCGUCAAACCCCAAACAUGAGUUCCUAAGCCUAUAUUCCACCUGGCCCCUGCGCCCAUCGUCCAGUUGAGGCAUCUGCACUCUCAUCUGUCCCCAGGGUGAACGUGGUGUUCGUGGACAGGUCAGGCCAACGGAUUCCGGUGAGCGGCAGAGUCGGGGACAAUGUUCUCCACCUGGCCCAGCGCCAUGGGUUGGAUCUGGAAG
rnacentral:lncRNA from 1 species